rnacentral:rRNA from 1 species
CGCACGGGUGCGUAACGCGUAUACAAUUUGCCCUAUACUGAGGGAUAGCCCAUAGAAAUGUGGAUUAAUACCUCAUAAUAUUUUUCUAUCGCAUGAUAGAGAUCUUAAAGCUUCGGCGGUAUAGGAUGAGUAUGCGUCCCAUUAGCUAGUUGGUAGGGUAACGGCUUACCAAGGCGACGAUGGGUAGGGGGACUGAGAGGUUGACCCCCCACACUGGUACUGAGACACGGACCAG